AGAGUUUGAUCCUGGCUCAGAUUGAACGCUGGCGGCAGGCCUAACACAUGCAAGUCGAACGGUAACAGGAAGCAGCUUGCUGCUUUGCUGACGAGUGGCGGACGGGUGAGUAAUGUCUGGGAAACUGCCCGAUGGAGGGGGAUAACUACUGGAAACGGUAGCUAAUACCGCAUAAUGUCGCAAGACCAAAGAGGGGGACCUUCGGGCCUCUUGCCAUCGGAUGUGCCCAGAUGGGAUUAGCUUGUUGGUGAGGUAACGGCUCACCAAGGCGACGAUCCCUAGCUGGUCUGAGAGGAUGACCAGCCACACUGGAACUGAGACACGGUCCAGACUCCUACGGGAGGCAGCAGUGGGGAAUAUUGCACAAUGGGCGCAAGCCUGAUGCAGCCAUGCCGCGUGUAUGAAGAAGGCCUUCGGGUUGUAAAGUACUUUCAGCGGGGAGGAAGGGGUUAAGGUUAAUAACCUUAGCCAUUGACGUUACCCGCAGAAGAAGCACCGGCUAACUCCGUGCCAGCAGCCGCGGUAAUACGGAGGGUGCAAGCGUUAAUCGGAAUUACUGGGCGUAAAGCGCACGCAGGCGGUCUGUCAAGUCGGAUGUGAAAUCCCCGGGCUCACCUGGGAACUGCAUUCGAAACUGGCAGGCUUGAGUCUCGUAGAGGGGGGUAGAAUUCCAGGUGUAGCGGUGAAAUGCGUAGAGAUCUGGAGGAAUACCGGUGGCGAAGGCGGCCCC
rnacentral:rRNA from 1 species